rnacentral:rRNA from 1 species
GAUGAACGCUGGCGGCGUGCCUAAUACAUGCAAGUCGAGCGAACGGACGAGAAGCUUGCUUCUCUGAUGUUAGCGGCGGACGGGUGAGUAACACGUGGAUAACCUACCUAUAAGACUGGGAUAACUUCGGGAAACCGGAGCUAAUACCGGAUGAUAUUUUGAACCGCAUGGCUCAAAAGUGAAAGACGGUCUUGCUGUCACUUAUAGAUGGAUCCGCGCUGCAUUAGCUAGUUGGUAAGGUAACGGCUUACCAAGGCAACGAUGCAUAGCCGACCUGAGAGGGUGAUCGGCCACACUGGAACUGAGACGCGGUCCAGACUCCUACGGGAGGCAGCAGUAGGGAAUCUUCCGCAAUGGGCGAAAGCCUGACGGAGCAACGCCGCGUGAGUGAUGAAGGUCUUCGGAUCGUAAAACUCUGUUAUUAGGGAAGAACAUAUGUGUAAGUAACUGUGCACAUCUUGACGGUACCUAAUCAGAAAGCCACGGCUAACUACGUG